rnacentral:miRNA from 1 species
UUUAUGACGCUCCGUGGGCCUG